AUGGAGGUAUCUGAAAAUCCAAAAAAGAGUAAGAG
rfam:Bacteroidetes bacterium OLB10 TZ10_BCD003CONTIG000043, whole genome shotgun sequence.